rnacentral:misc_RNA from 1 species
AAUUUUAUCCCAACCCGAUAAAAGUUCACACCUUACAUUAUAUCUACCCUAAGGCUACCCAAACACGCUCCAAAACUCAUUUAUUUUCUUUCGUUUUUUCAGAAAAUUUAAUAGAGCAUCCAAAUCUAAUAUGAAAAUCACUCGAAUCUAGCAUAAUUAACAUUUAAUAACCCAUUAGCUCAACCCUUUGUUUGGAAACUAAAAUUUUAAAAGAAUUCAAUGAUUUGUUUUUGCACAAUAAGA